UGGGGAAUCUUGCGCAAUGGUCUAACGACUGACGCAGCGACGCCGCGUGUGGGAGGACGCCUUUCGGGGUGUAAACCACUGUUGCCCGGGACGAACUGGUCGAUUCAUCGACCGUGACGGUACCGGGUGAGGAAGCACCGGCUAACUCCGUGCCAGCAGCCGCGGUAAUACGGAGGGUGCGAGCGUUGUCCGGAAUCAUUGGGCGUAAAGGGCGCGUAGGUGGCCCGGUCAGCGUGCGGUGAAAGCUCGGGGCUCAACCCCGAGUCGGCCGUGCGAACUACUGGGCUGGAGCACCGUAGAGGCAGGCGGAAUUCCGGGUGUAGCGGUGGAAUGCGUAGAGAUCCGGAAGAACACCGGUGGCGAAGGCGGCCUGCUGGGCAGUUGCUGACACUGAGGCGCGACAGCGUGGGGAGCAAAC
rnacentral:rRNA from 1 species